CUUGUAAAUAUUGAAAUAUUUCGGUUGUUUCGGUAGUUUUUAUAAUCAGCAAUAUGAUACCUUACUUCUCAUCAUCCCCUGCAGGCAUAAACUAAAAGCUGGAAUUACCAAUUCAGGCAAAGAGAUUUUCUUUUGGGGUACUUUUAUUGAACUUCGUAAUUCGAAAUCGAAAAAAGUAUUAUUCAUACAGUUGGAAAGCUUUCCCAGGAACAGAUGCUACGCAACAAAGGUUCACGUGAUCAAACCAGCCUAAACUGUAAACCAGGGCCGGCGCUACAGGGGUGGGGGUGGAACAAAUCGGCAAAUUAUUAUCUCAGUCGGCAAAACUGGAUUGGCUAAAGAUAACCACUGAAGAAACCAAAAUUGACUUCCUGAAUAAUUCAAACCGAAUAUCACGACUAGCAUGCAUCAAAGAAACCACACAUGCAGCAAUGCAAAUUCUUUCUAAUUAAAUUUGUUUGGUUGUUCAGUUGUUGUUGCUUAUUAUACUGUUCUAUAAAAGAGGCAAUAAAGCGGUCGGUUUUACACUGGCGAUUUUUUUCGCACGAAGCGACCUUUUCCUUUGUCGGUAUCACUAUUACGUCAGCAAGAUGUGGCAAAAUCAGUCCUCGAAAACGAGGUCGGCAUUCCAAGUUCGGCAAAUUUUUGCCGACCUUAAUUCAACCAAAGUAAGAAUUUUU